GAUGAGGUGGCAGAGUGGUUAAAGCGAUGGACUGCUAAUCCAUUGUGCUCUGCAUGCAUGGGUUUGAAUCCCAUCCUUUAUCA